GAUGAACGCUAGCUACAGGCUUAACACAUGCAAGUCGAGGGGAAACGACAUCGAAAGCUUGCUUUUGAUGGGCGUCGACCGGCGCACGGGUGAGUAACGCGUAUCCAACCUGCCCACCACUUGGGGAUAACCUUGCGAAAGUAAGACUAAUACCCAAUGAUAUCUCUAGAAGACAUCUGAAAGAGAGUUAAGAUUUAUCGGUGAUGGAUGGUGGUAGGUCUGAUUAGCUAGUUGGUGGGGUAAAGGCCCACCAAGGCGACGAUCAGUAGGUGGUCUGAGAGGAUGAGCAGUCACACUGGAACUGAGACACGGUCCAGACUCCUACGGGAGGCAGCAGUGGGGAAUAUUGGACAAUGGGCGAAAGCCUGAUCCAGCCAUGCCGCGUGUGUGAAGAAGGUCUUCGGAUUGUAAAGCACUUUAAGUUGGGAGGAAGGGAAGUAAGUUAAUACCUUGCUGUUUUGACGUUACCAACAGAAUAAGCACCGGCUAACUUCGUG
rnacentral:rRNA from 1 species